rnacentral:rRNA from 1 species
UGGGGAAUAUUGGACAAUGGGGGCAACCCUGAUCCAGCAAUGCCGCGUGUGUGAAGAAGGUCUUCGGAUUGUAAAGCACUUUCGACGGGGACGAUGAUGACGGUACCCGUAGAAGAAGCCCCGGCUAACUUCGUGCCAGCAGCCGCGGUAAUACGAAGGGGGCUAGCGUUGCUCGGAAUGACUGGGCGUAAAGGGCGUGUAGGCGGUUUACACAGUCAGAUGUGAAAUCCCCGGCUUAACCUGGGAGCUGCAUUUGAUACGUGUAGACUAGAGUGUGAGAGAGGGUUGUGGAAUUCCCAGUGUAGAGGUGAAAUUCGUAGAUAUUGGGAAGAACACCGGUGGCGAAGGCGGCAACCUGGCUCAUGACUGACGCUGAGGCGCGAAAGCGUGGGGAGCAAACAGGAUUA